rnacentral:tRNA from 1 species
GCUGGAAUAGCUCAGUCGGUAGA